CGACGCUGGCGGCGUGCCUUAAUACAUGCAAGUCGAACGCUUCUUUUCCCACCGGAGCUUGCUCCACCGGGAAAAGAGGAGUGGCGAACGGGUGAGUAACACGUGGGUAACCUGCCCAUCAGAAGGGGAUAACACUUGGAAACAGGUGCUAAUACCGUAUAACAAUCGAAACCGCAUGGUUUCGUUUUGAAAGGCGCUUUACGGUGCCGCUGAUGGAUGGACCCGCGGUGCAUUAGCUAGUUGGUGAGGUAACGGCUCACCAAGGCCACGAUGCAUAGCCGACCUGAGAGGGUGAUCGGCCACAUUGGGACUGAGACACGGCCCAAACUCCUACGGGAGGCAGCAGUAGGGAAUCUUCGGCAAUGGACGAAAGUCUGACCGAGCAACGCCGCGUGAGUGAAGAAGGUUUUCGGAUCGUAAAACUCUGUUGUUAGAGAAGAACAAGGGUGAGAGUAACUGUUCACCCCUUGACGGUAUCUAACCAGAAAGCCACGGCUAACUACGUGCCAGCAGCCGCGGUAAUACGUAGGUGGCAAGCGUUGUCCGGAUUUAUUGGGCGUAAAGCGAGCGCAGGCGGUUUCUUAAGUCUGAUGUGAAAGCCCCCGGCUCAACCGGGGAGGGUCAUUGGAAACUGGGAGACUUGAGUGCAGAAGAGGAGAGUGGAAUUCCAUGUGUAGCGGUGAAAUGCGUAGAUAUAUGGAGGAACACCAGUGGCGAAGGCGGCUCUCUGGUCUGUAACUGACGCUGAGGCUCGAAAGCGUGGGGAGCAAACAGGAUUAGAUACCCUGGUAGUCCACGCCGUAAACGAUGAGUGCUAAGUGUUGGAGGGUUUCCGCCCUUCAGUGCUGCAGCUAACGCAUUAAGCACUCCGCCUGGGGAGUACGACCGCAAGGUUGAAACUCAAAGGAAUUGACGGGGGCCCGCACAAGCGGUGGAGCAUGUGGUUUAAUUCGAAGCAACGCGAAGAACCUUACCAGGUCUUGACAUCCUUUGACCACUCUAGAGAUAGAGCUUCCCCUUCGGGGGCAAAGUGACAGGUGGUGCAUGGUUGUCGUCAGCUCGUGUCGUGAGAUGUUGGGUUAAGUCCCGCAACGAGCGCAACCCUUAUUGUUAGUUGCCAUCAUUUAGUUGGGCACUCUAGCAAGACUGCCGGUGACAAACCGGAGGAAGGUGGGGAUGACGUCAAAUCAUCAUGCCCCUUAUGACCUGGGCUACACACGUGCUACAAUGGGAAGUACAACGAGUCGCGAAGUCGCGAGGCUAAGCUAAUCUCUUAAAGCUUCUCUCAGUUCGGAUUGUAGGCUGCAACUCGCCUACAUGAAGCCGGAAUCGCUAGUAAUCGCGGAUCAGCACGCCGCGGUGAAUACGUUCCCGGGCCUUGUACACACCGCCCGUCACACCACGAGAGUUUGUAACACCCGAAGUCGGUGAGGUAACCUUUUUGGAGCCAG
rnacentral:rRNA from 1 species